rnacentral:rRNA from 1 species
GACGAACGCUGGCGGCGUGCUUAACACAUGCAAGUCGAACGGAAAGGCCCUGCUUUUGUGGGGUGCUCGGGUGGCGAACGGGUGAGUAACACGUGAGUAACCUGCCCUUGACUUUGGGAUAACUUCAGGAAACUGGGGCUAAUACCGGAUAGGAGCUCCUGCUGCAUGGUGGGGGUUGGAAAGUUUCGGCGGUUGGGGAUGGACUCGCGGCUUAUCAGCUUGUUGGUGGGGUAGUGGCUUACCAAGGCUUUGACGGGUAGCCGGCCUGAGAGGGAGACCGGCCACAUUGGGACUGAGAUACGGCCCAGACUCCUACGGGAGGCAGCAGUGGGGAAUAUUGCACAAUGGGCGGAAGCCUGAUGCAGCAACGCCGCGUGCGGGAUGACGGCCUUCGGGUUGUAAACCGCUUUCGCCUGUGACGAAGCGUGAGUGACGGUAAUGGGUAAAGAAGCACCGGCUAACUACGUG